CCUACGGGAGACUGCAGUGAGGAAUAUUGGUCAAUGGGCGAGAGCCUGAACCAGCCAAGUCGCGUGAGGGAGUACUGCCCUAUGGGUUGUAAACCUCUUUUGUCGGGGAGCAAAAGCCGGACGUGUCCGGCUGUGAGAGUACCCGAAGAAAAGGCAUCGGCUAACUCCGUGCCAGCAGCCGCGGUAAUACGGAGGAUGCGAGCGUUAUCCGGAUUUAUGGGGUUUAAAGGGUGCGCAGGCGGAUUUUUAAGUCAGCGGUCAAAUCGUGGGGCUCAACCCCAUCCAGCCGUUGAAACUGGGGAUCUAGAGUGUGCGAGAGGUAUGCGGAAUGCGUGGUGUAGCGGUGAAAUGCAUAGAUAUCACGCAGAACCCCGAUUGCGAAGGCAGCAUACCGGUGCACAACUGACGCUCAGGCACGAAAGCGUGGGUAUCGAACAGGAUUAGAUACCCGGGUAGUC
rnacentral:rRNA from 1 species